GAUGAACGCUAGCGGCAGGCUUAAUACAUGCAAGUCGUGGGGCAGCAGGACUGUAGCAAUACAGUUGCUGGCGACCGGCAAACGGGUGCGGCACACGUACGCAACUUACCCUGAACUGGGGGAUAGCCCGGGGAAACCCGGAUUAAUACCCCGUAAUAUAAUGGAGUGGCAUCACUUUAUUAUUAAAGCUCCGGCGGUUCGGGAUGGGCGUGCGGCUGAUUAGGCAGUUGGUUGAGGUAACGGCUCACCAAGCCUACGAUCAGUAGCUGGUGUGAGAGCACGACCAGUCGCACGGGAACUGAGACACGGCCCGAGUGCUACGGGAGGGAGCAGUAAGGAAGAUUGGGCAAGGGAGGCAACUCUGACCCAGCCAAGCCGCGUGGAGGAAGAAGGCCCUCGGGGUUGUAAACUUCUGUUAGAGGGGACGAAACCUGUGUAUUCUUACGCAGUUGACGGUACCCGAGGAAUAAGCACCGGCUAACUCCGUG
rnacentral:rRNA from 1 species